rnacentral:rRNA from 1 species
UCGAACGCGAAAGUGGAGCAUCCAUGAGUAGAGUGGCAAACGGGUGAGUAACACGUGGGUGACCUGCCUUGGAGUGGGGGAUAACGUUCCGAAAGGAGCGCUAAUACCGCAUGACAUCCUGCGUUUGGAAACGCGGUGAUUAAAGCCGGGGAUCGCAAGACCUGGCGCUUGAAGAGGGGCCCGCGGCCGAUUAGCUAGUUGGUGGGGUAACGGCUCACCAAGGCGACGAUCGGUAUCCGGCCUGAGAGGGCGGACGGACACACUGGGACUGAGACACGGCCCAGACUCCUACGGGAGGCAGCAGUGGGGAAUUGUUCGCAAUGGGCGCAAGCCUGACGACGCAACGCCGCGUGGAGGACGAAGAUCUUCGGGUCGUAAACUCCUUUCGAUCGGGAAGAACGCCUUCGGAGUGAAUAACUCCGGGGGGUGACGGUACCGAGAGAAGAAGCCCCGGCUAACUCCGUGCCAGCAGCCGCGGUAAUACGGGGGGGGCAAGCGUUGUUCGGAAUUACUGGGCGUAAAGGGCUCGUAGGCGGCCAACUAAGUCGGAUGUGAAAUCCCCAGGCUUAACUUGGGAACUGCAUCCGAUACUGGAUGGCUUGAAUCCGGGAGAGGGAUGCGGAAUUCCAGGUGUAGCGGUGAAAUGCGUAGAUAUCUGGAGGAACACCGGUGGCGAAGGCGGCAUCCUGGACCGGCAUUGACGCUGAUGAGCGAAAGCCAGGGGAGCAAACGGGAUUAGAUACCCCGGUAGUCCUGGCCCUAAA